CGUAUUUGUCGAGCGCGCUUAGAACGCCGCCAGCAUUGGCGAAAUUGCCGAACUCAGGCUUUCCGGCAAACAUUUCGGCAGUGAAUGCGAUCAUGGCAACGGCCCCGAUCAUGACCAGGCCGAUUCCGAUCACGAGGUCGACCUUCUCGUACGCGCUGAAGGCUGGCGUAAUUCGCUUGUCGACGACGUAGCUUUGCUGG
rnacentral:misc_RNA from 1 species